rnacentral:rRNA from 1 species
UACGUAGGGGGCAAGCGUUGUCCGGAAUCAUUGGGCGUAAAGCGCGUGUAGGCGGUUCGAUAAGUCUGCUGUGAAAGUCCAGGGCUCAACCCUGGAAAGCCGGUGGAUACUGUCGGGCUAGAGUCCGGAAGAGGCGAGUGGAAUUCCUGGUGUAGCGGUGGAAUGCGCAGAUAUCAGGAGGAACACCGAUGGCGAAGGCAGCUCGCUGGGACGGUACUGACGCUGAGGCGCGAAAGCGUGGGGAGCAAACAGG